rnacentral:rRNA from 1 species
UACGGAGGGUGCGAGCGUUGUCCGGAAUCACUGGGCGUAAAGGGCGCGUAGGCGGCGCGGAUAGUCGGCGGUGAAAGCCCGGAGCUCAACUCCGGGUCGGCCGUCGAUACUUCCGGGCUUGAGCACUGUAGAGGCAGAUGGAAUUCCGGGUGUAGCGGUGGAAUGCGUAGAGAUCGGGAGGAACACCAGUGGCGAAGGCGGCCACCUGGGCCGACCCUGACGCUGAGGCGCGAAGGCGUGGGGAGCGAACGGG